AAGGGCUUAGCUAAAUUAAAGUAAUUGAUUUGUGUUCAGUUGAUACAGAGUAGAAUUUUGCAGUCCUUA
rfam:Chlorocebus sabaeus isolate 1994-021 chromosome 6, whole genome shotgun sequence.